GGGGGUGCGUGGCUUCGAUUCUGGGAAUCGAGGUGGGUGAAGCGAGCCGACGUCCCCGGAACGUCGUUAAAGAGCCGGGACCAUAGAUACUUGCCGAGGACAACCUCGCACUCGCUGCCUAGUCACUGACUAGCAGCGCGUCCGAUCCGACCCAGCCGCUCGGUCGGGACAGGGCGCCAUCUCGAGCGGCUAACCGGUGGGACGGGCCCCGUGGCCCACCGGGACAUCACAGCGAGGCUGGGUCCGCCGCCGGGUGCCGAUGCCCGACAGCGGACCGAGAUCAAUCACCGGCUGCGCUCGGAGAAGCCCCACUGAGAGCCUGGAAGACGCGGGUUCGACUCCCGCCACCUCCACGA
rnacentral:tmRNA from 1 species